rnacentral:tRNA from 1 species
CAACGGGUUUUGAUCCCGUCAUACCCAGGUUCGAAUCCUGGCAGACCUGCCA